AUGGGGAAGAAGUACAAGGCCACGCCCAUGUCCAAGUGGUGCAACUCGGUGCUCUUGUCCGUGCAGUUUGCAGGUGUAUUCUGGGACGACAACAUCAAAAGCUCAGUCUCGGCUAGACUAGAAACAAAUGAAGUGAUUGCAUCUUGCUAUCGGAGAAUAGGUAAUAAUACAAGGAGUUCUUCAGACCGGGUAGUGUUGUCACCUAAGAAGGGGAAGGGAGUUCAGACAAAACAUGAACACGGUGGUUAA
rnacentral:rRNA from 1 species